rnacentral:rRNA from 1 species
AGUGAACGCUGGCGGUAGGCCUAACACAUGCAAGUCGAACGGCAGCACAGUAAGAGCUUGCUCUUCCGGGUGGCGAGUGGCGGACGGGUGAGGAAUACAUCGGAAUCUACUUUUUCGUGGGGGAUAACGUAGGGAAACUUACGCUAAUACCGCAUACGACCUACGGGUGAAAGCAGGGGAUCUUCGGACCUUGUGCGAUUGAAUGAGCCGAUGUCGGAUUAGCUAGUUGGCGGGGUAAAGGCCCACCAAGGCGACGAUCCGUAGCUGGUCUGAGAGGAUGGUCGGCCACCCUGGAACUGAGACACGGUCCAGACUCCUACGAGAGGCAGCAGUGGGGAAUAUGGGACAAUGGGCGCAAGCCUGAUCCAGCCAUACCGCGUGGGUGAAGAAGGCGUUCGGGUUGUAAAGCCCUUUUGUUGGGAAAGAAAAGCAGCAGGUUAAUACCCCGCUGUUCUGACGGUACCCAAAGAAUAAGCACCGGCUAACUUCGUG